CACCUCCCUUGGUCAAGGGACUGACUUCCUCUAAAGAAGUGGAGUAAACAGCUUCCGAUAAAACCAUCGGUUCUAAGUCCAUUGGCGGUUC
rnacentral:tRNA from 1 species